rnacentral:rRNA from 1 species
UCCAGAGGUCUCAAGCGUUGUUCGGAUUCAUUGGGCGUAAAGGGUGCGUAGGUGGCGCCAUAAGUCAGGUGUGAAAUCUCGGGGCUUAACUCCGAAACUGCAUUCGAUACUGCCGUGCUUGAGGACUGGAGAGGAGACUGGAAUUUACGGUGUAGCGGUGAAAUGCGUAGAUAUCGUAAGGAAGACCAGUGGCGAAGGCGGGUCUCUGGACAGUUCCUGACGCUGAGGCACGAAGGCCAGGGGAGCAAACGGG